UUGGAGGGCAAGUCUGGUGCCAGCAGCCGCGGUAAUUCCAGCUCCAAUAGCGUAUAUUAAAGUUGUUGCAGUUAAAAAGCUCGUAGUUGAAUUUCGGGAUCAAUAUUUCGGUCAUGCCGUUGGUAUGCACUGUUAUCAUUGAUUUCACACCUUCUAAAGAACCGUAAUGCCAUUAAUUUGGUGUUACGGGGAAUUAGGACUGUUACCUUGAAAAAAUUAGAGUGUUUAAAGCAGGCUCACGCUUGAAUACAUUAGCAUGGAAUAAUGAAAUAGGACGUUUGAUUCUAUUUUGCUGGUUUCUAGGAUCGACGUAAUGAUUAAUAGGGAUAGUUGGGGGCAUUAGUAUUCAAUUGUCAGAGGUGAAAUUCUUGGAUUUAUUGAAGACUAACUACUGCGAAAGCAUUCGCCAAGGAUGUUUUCAUUAAUCAAGAACGAAAGUUAGGGGAUCGAAGACGAUCAGAUACCGUCGUAGUCUUAACCAUAAACUAUGCCGACUAGGGAUCGGACGAAGUUAAUUUUAUAAUGACGCGUUCGGCACCUUACGGGAAACCAAAGUGUUUGGGUUC
rnacentral:rRNA from 1 species